AUGGAGGGGAACCUGGGGCCUGCUCUGGUGAUUCUGUGGCUUCAGAUUUGCUGGGUGAGAGGAGCUGAGGUGGAGCAGAGUCCUUCAGCCCUGAGUCUCCACGAAGGAAGCAGUUGUGCUCUGAGAUGCAAUUUUUCUACCACCAUGACAGCUCUGCAGUGGUUCCAACAGAAUUCCAGAGGCAGCAUCAUCAGUCUGUUUUUCAUGGCUCCAGGAACAAAGGAGAAUGGGAGGUUAAAGUCAACAUUCAAUUCUAAGGAGCGCUACAGCACCCUGCACAUUGCAGCUGCCCAGCUGGAGGACUCAGGCACCUACCUCUGCUGUGGGAACAGUGGAGGCAGCAGCUACAAACUGACAUUUGGGAAAGGAACACUCUUAACUGUGAAUCCAAAUAUCGAGGACCCCAAACCUGCUGUGUACCAGAUGAGAGACCCUCAGUCCAAGGACACCAUCUGCCUGUUCACCGACUUUGAUUCUCAAAUCAGUGUGUCAAGUAGCACCAGCUCUGAUGUGUUCAUCUCUAACCAAACUGUGCUGAACAUGAAGUCUAUGGAUUCCAAGAGCAAUGGGGCCAUUGCCUGGAGCAACCAAGCUAGCCUCAACUGUCGAGAUGCCUUCAAAGAGAACACUUCCUACCCCAGUGAAGACGUUCCCUGUGAUGCCAAGUUGAUAGAGAAAAGCUUUGAAACAGAUAUGAACCUAAACUUUCAAAACCUGUCAGUGAUGGGACUCCGAAUCCUCCUCCUGAAAGUGGCCGGAUUUAACCUGCUUAUGACGCUGCGCCUCUGGUCCAAUUGAGGUGAGAAGGCAUCGAAGCUUGGAGAAGGGUUAAAGGUGUGGGUUCAGGGCAAGACCCAGCCCUGAGAGCAAAUUUUCCCCCAUGGAAAUUUGCUUUUAAAUCCUAAGACUAGACCCACAGAACUUUUCUACCCCUUCCUGUCACAAGUUGCUGUUGCAAACAGUGGCCUGAAACACUUGUUUAA